GACGAACGCUGGCGGCGUGCUUAACACAUGCAAGUCGAACGAGAAAGCCCCUCGGGGUAAGUACAGUGGCGAACGGGUGAGUAACACGUGGGCAACCUGCCCCAGAGAGCGGGACAACCCGAGGAAACUCGGGCUAAUACCGCAUGAUGCGUCUCCGCUUAAGUGGAGCCGCCAAAUGGUAGCUUCGGCCUCCGCUCUGGGAUGGGCCCGCGCCGGAUUAGCUAGUUGGUUGGGGUAAUGGCCCACCAAGGCGACGAUCCGUAGCUGGUCUGAGAGGAUGAUCAGCCACACUGGGACUGAGACACGGCCCAGACUCCUACGGGAGGCAGCAGUGGGGAAUAUUGGACAAUGGGCGAAAGCCUGAUCCAGCAAUGCCGCGUGAGUGAUGAAGG
rnacentral:rRNA from 1 species